UACGUAGGGCGCAAGCGUUGUCCGGAAUUAUUGGGCGUAAAGAGCUCGUAGGCGGUUUGUCGCGUCUGCUGUGAAAACGCGAGGCUUAACCUCGCGCCUGCAGUGGGUACGGGCAGACUAGAGUGCGGUAGGGGAGACUGGAAUUCCUGGUGUAGCGGUGGAAUGCGCAGAUAGUCAGGAGGAACACCGGUGGCGAAGGCGGGUCUCUGGGCCGUUACUGACGCUGGAGGAGCGAAAGCAUGGGGAGCGAACAGG
rnacentral:rRNA from 1 species